AAAAAUCUGAAUUUAUUCCAAAUAAGACCAGUUGAAUGCAUUAUUAUACAGCGUAUUGGCUCAGCCUCCACGCUUUGGCUCCAGCUCCCUGGCUUUGGCUCAAACCAGAAUAGGAGUAUAAACAUGCUUAUUCCGCUCGGAAGUGUCAUUGGAUCCUUUUUAUACACAGCUCCUAAAAGAGCUGGAGCCACUGUUUCGCAUCCGUGAAAUGGGGAUAUUGCGAUGUUCCGCCCUGUAACGAGACUUCACCAUCAAGUGUGUCACCAAAUACGUUGUCAUCGACUUCAACUGCCUCUUCAACUAUGCCAACUACCUCUUCAACGACGUCAACUGCGUCCUCAAAUGAGUCUUUAAACUCUUAGACUACGAUAUUGACAGGUUACAUAGACGUAUUAUCAAUGAUCCCACCAUCACAGACACCAGCGGUUGGAGUCACACGAUCAACCACGUCAUCGAGUGUAUCAACAUUUUCAUCAAGUUUGUCCAAAACUGCGUUGUCACCGACGUCAACUACCCCAUCAACUACGUCUUCCAACUGUGCAUUUGGAUCGGGUGUUUGUGUGACGCAUACAGAUGGUCUUGGCUCGAAUGCGCCAGCAAGCCGCCCUUCUAUGUCGCUGGUGAUAGCUGUUCUGCUUCCCCUGCAUGUGGCGCUGAUCGGAGGGCAGCAAAACUGAGGACCAUCCCAAUCGGAUCCCGAUCGGCUUUGUUUUACCGGAGAUGGCCGACAUGUAAAGAUUUGAUUAAUAUCUGCUCGACUCGAAACAUUAUCAAUGUGACAGACAUGGUGGCAACAUUAUCAAUGUGACAGACAUGGUGGCAACAUUAUCAAUGUGACAGACAUGGUGACAACAUUAUCAAUGUGACAGACAUGGGUCGUUCGUUUCCACCAGUAUGUUACGAAAAGAAUAUUUAAGAAAUUAGUUGUUUUUAUUUUCGGAGAUUUCGCUCUUUAUACGAACCAUACUAUAUAAUCAUUUAUUUGUAACUGUCUUUUUGUUUAUAUUGUGUAUAACAAGAAACCAGCUCCGACUGUUUAAAAUUGUUCACCAAUUAUUCGCCUAGCAUUUAAAUUCCUUAUGGUUUCUUUUCAUAUAAAUAGUAAUUUGUGUUCCAAAGCUUCAAAUUAGGAAAUCUAAUAUUGAUCUCUGAAAAUGAGCAAUUUAUCAUCAAUAGUGAAAUUGAACCAGGUUGGGCCUGUGAACUUGAAUAUCUCUCUUUUUAACUCUCAUCAUAUUAAAAGAGUUUCUUCCAAAAAUAAUCAUUCAAAAAGAGCAACA